CCUACGGGGUGCAGCAGUAGGGAAUUUUCGGCAAUGGGGGGAACCCUGACCGAGCAACGCCGCGUGAACGAAGAAGUUAUUCGUAAUGUAAAGUUCUUUUAAUAUGGGAGUAAGAUAAUUUUGACGGUACCUGAAGUAUAAGCUCCGGCAAACUACGUGCCAGCAGCCGCGGUAAUACGUGGGGAGCGAGCGUUAUCCGGAAUUAUUGGGCGUAAAGGGUGCGUAGAUGGCAUAGUAAGUUUUUUGGAAAAAUGCUGGGCUAAACCCAGUAGGGCAACAGAUACUGCAAAGCUAGAGUAUGACAGAGGCAAGUGGAACUACAGGUGUAGCGGUAAAAUGCGUAAAUAUAUGUAAGAACACCAGUGGCGAAGGCGGCUUGCUGGGUUGAUACUGACAUUGAGGCACGAAAGCGUGGGGAGCAAACAGGAUUAGAUACCCGUGUAGUC
rnacentral:rRNA from 1 species